rnacentral:tRNA from 1 species
GGGCCGGUAGCUCAGCCUGGUACGAACCCUGGAGUAAAAACCAGGGCCGUGGGAACUAGAGCACCUGACUUUUAAUCAGGUGGUCGCGGGUUCGAAUCCCGUCCGGCCCG